rnacentral:rRNA from 1 species
CGACGCACACGGUUUAGGCGCGGAACUAGUCUAAGAGAGGUUCUAAGAUGCUAUCUGCACCGACUAAGUGACUGGGAAAGUCGGUUACCUCUUCUCCCUCCUCCUCUCGGUCCGGGGCGACGACCUCGGGUCCGGCCGCCGCCGCCUCUUACCGCCCCCACUGUACCAGCCGCUGCCUCCCCGCCUUCUCCUCCUCCACCCCGACCCCGCAGUCGACGACCUCCUCUUGGCCUUCGACACCCGCCACCGCCCCGGCAGGUAGACGUGCGCGAAGAGGUGGAAGCCCCAGUGGCACUAGUCGGUCCGGAAGUAGCCGGUGUAGCCGGGGUGGCUCGAGCGGCGGAUGCGGGAGCAGAGGUGGCACGAGUACGCGAAGUCGUUGCCGUAUGACGAGACCGCCGGCGAAUCGGCGGGAGCCCUGGCCCUGCGGUAGAGGCGGAAGUAGCGGCUGGAGGCGAGCUACCGGCAGGCGGACAGCGGCGGUGGUGGCGGCGGAGGCGGACUCGGACUAAUCAGCAGACAAACGAGAGGCCGGAACCGGGGCCGACUCGGACAGAGAAUAAAGCACACACAAAACCCGAACAACUCGACACAGGAGUCGUCAUGGAGACCUAAAUAACAACACGCUGAACCCACACACAAGACUUGAUCAGGAACAUACACGAGAACCGCUAAACGAAAUAAAUAUUUCACCCCGCUUUCGGAAAAAGCCAAUUUUGUUGGGGUAACCUAAAAAGAAGGUAAAAUGUAGGACUCGGCCAGACCCAAUGAUGAUGAAUUAUGGUACGCGAGAAACAGGCCAUCUGGUCACCGUAACGUGGUCAAGUCUCUAAAGUCUCAGAAGUGACGUAGUCUUUGUUUAAACAGAGUUGGGUCUUUUCAGACUACUAGAGUUUGUGUUGAUGAUUAUUGCACGCAUUUGACUUACGUCGACCCGUACCGCUCGCGCGACCUCUGCAACACGCCCGUCAGCAUGCCCCGCUUCGUCAUGGUGUACUACCCGUAGAUGGACGUCGCCAGGACCUAGUAGGAUUCGCCGACGCGGCACGAGUACGAGGGGUAGAAGUAUAAGUGGCUCGGCGACGAGCAGAAGUAGCCGGUCCUGGGGUGGUAGUCGCGGCAGCGACCGUGGUAGAGGUAGACCAUGUAGGGGCAGUACAAGCGGUCGCAGAAGUUGAAGUGCGACGUCUACAUGGACGUCCGCGUCUCGUUCUUGUACUAGUAGUGGAUGGAGCGGAAGCAGUUGGAGCCGGAGGUGGACAAGGACAGCACCGAGGACUGGCAGUUCGACGUGGAACCCGAGCGGCCCCAGUACUGGAGGUACCAGUAGCGGUACACCUAAGGACGCAAGCCCGUCGAGUAGAAGCAGGAGAAGCCACCGACGGGAGAGUGCACCUGCCCCAAGAGGAAGUGUCGUGAGUGGCUGGAGCAGGGAUAGAAGUUCGAGAGAGACAGGAGACCACACUACGAGAAAAACCUUAACACCAUGUCGUGGUAUGACCACGAGGACUGGCCCAUGUACUUCUUACGUCUCUCACGUGAACUGCGAGAAAGUUAUACGGAAUUGUAGUUACCAACCCUCUACUACUAGAGAUAGCCGAAAAACCGACGUUGUCCUCACGCACACCGUUUACUCGAGCCUCGUCCUUCACGUUUUUCCCGGUUCAAGCGGUAGAAUUUACAGCAGCGGUGAAGAAAGAGUUAACCGGAACACAACAAGCACAAGAAAGAAAAGAAGGCACCCUUCGAAAGGAUGUAUAAAUGGUGCUCACUCCUCCAUCGACGGAAUCAACGACUGGACAGUGGAGAAGACCGGAAGAGGUAGAACGACUUGUCACAAGUUGGUCACGAUAGUCCACAACGACAACCACGCCCAACCGUUUCACAGCAACGGAUACAAUUGUAGUGUUGUAUAAUGAACUAACCAUAGGGAGAACCUCGUUAGGAUCCAAUACAAGAACCUAUAGUACACUUCCCGUAAACCCAACCGUACGAAGAGCCCUGUGACCAGGUUUGUUAACACGAAGACAAGUAUUGUUAAUCCUGGCUGACCCUAUUCGUCCACCUCCAAUGAGUCCUCUCUAACUUCUCUACCAUGUACCUGCCCUUGUUACCUUUCAGUCUAAGUUCCAGUUCAGGUAUUCUAAUCUUUAGGCCGUGUUCAUUACUUAGCCGUAGUUCCAUCUUGUACGUAUGAGACGAACUAGCCUCAAGCGCCGCAAAGUCUCCAAUUGAUGCCAAGAAAGUCAUACAGUUCUUACUUACCUACCUUGUAAACAUCCGCGUCUGUACAGCCUCCAACAAGGAGUUCUAGCUCGUUUGCCAUUGUCACUCAGUCACUGCGUCCGAGGUGAUCUCUUCCUUCUUGUAUGAUAGAGACAAAGACUUAUAAUAUGUAAAACCGUCAAGUUAAAUUUGACGUUUUUGCAGAAUAUAAAUCCUUAUCUACCACAUAAUGAGUUCCCCGUGAACUAAAAGACAUUAAAGAUGAUGAGGAAGUCGUACAUUUUAUACGGAACCUAGCGACACCCGACCACCGUGAUCACAACAAAACAUAACUAACUAAAACCAACACUAAUCAUUUGUACCACAAAGAUAUAGG